ACAUACGACCAUAGGGUGUGGAAAACAGGGCUUCCCGUCCGCUCAGCCGUACUUAAGCCACACGCCGGUGAGUUAGUAGUUGGGUGGGUGACCACCAGCGAAUCCUCACCGUUGCAUGUU
rnacentral:rRNA from 1 species